rnacentral:misc_RNA from 1 species
GGAAGGAUCAUCAUUCACCAAUGAGAUAUGGGGAGCUCACGCUCUAUACCAAACCAUAUCUUUACAAAUGUUAAAGCGCGACAGCGGGUCAACUGUUUAGCAUUCUGGUGUCUUGCAUAAGUAGGUUGACGGUACUGCCCUAAGCGCCGGAACAACGUUCAACCUAUCGAGCAAGAACAUUGUAGAGCAUAGCUGGACUUAUCCGGGUGGCUCCAGAGUGCGGCAGUAUGGAAGGAGGUCUGAUUCAGGCCGAAUUUCAAUCUUUAAUGUUUGAUAUGCUCCUCGGAGGUAAUCAUUCAUUUAAUCAUUAAAUUGAAAGUCCCUUAACGAUGGAUGCCUCGGCUCGUGAAGCGAUGAAGGACGCAGCUAGGUGCGAUAAGCACUGUGAAUUGCAGAAUUCCGCGAACCAGUAGAUCUCUGAACGCAUUAUGCGCGAAUGGAUUUAUUCCAUUUGCAGGUAUGUGUCAGCGUUUACUAUGUAAAAUCGCAUUGUAAAUGCAGCGUGGGGAAUUGUAAGUAUGGUGCGCUGUACUUAACGUUUCUCUGUUUCGUGAGAUAUUCUCUUAAGUGGGAAUGCUCGCUUGAUUCAGGAGGCUUAUAUAUGGCGUCCGCGCCAUAAUUAAGUCAUAGAUGAGACAACAAAUGCCUUUUGCUUCGUGAAAGGAAAUGUUAAGGUCUAAUAUUGGGAUUCAUCCUAACUUUGGUCCAGCACGAUUUCUUAAUAACGUUGCAGCCAUUAAUGGUUUAAGGUGUUAUGUAUGGCUCUAUUAACUUGAACCUGAUACAUACCAGACAACCCGCUGAAUUUAAGCAUAUAAGUAAGCGGAGGAAAAGAAACUAACUAGGAUUCCCUUAGUAAUGGCGAAUGAACAGGGAAGAGCUCAAUGCCCAAUCGGUCGCUUGCGAUCGACAUGUGGUUUGGGUGGUAUGCCAGUGCUGACUCUGGUUUAAGUCCCUUGGAAAAGGGCGCCAUAGAGGGUGAUAGCCCCGUUCAUAAUCAGAUGCUCGGUCACGUACGGCUACUACUUAAUGAGUCGCGUUCCUUGGGAUUGGAGCGCAAAUACGGGAGGUAAAUUCCUUCCAAAGCUAAAUAUGACCACGAGACCGAUAGCUAACAAGUACCAUGAGGGAAAGGUUAAAAGAGCUCUGAAAAGAGGGUUAAAAGUGCCUGAAAUCGUUAAGGGGGAAGCGAAUGCCAGCUGUUGAAUUUGUGAUCUUAAGGAUUGUGCUUAUGCUUCUGGUUAUGGUUAUGUCGCUUUGGGCAACUGGGCGAUAUGGCUAUGUACGGUUGUGUAUGUGCGUCGCCUUUUGGUCAUGAUCAGUGCAACCUUUGGUGUGGGUACUUACUUUGCGAUGGGGCGGUUAUCUUCGGAUCUCUGUCUUUAGUGAGGGAACCCUACGUCAGAGGUAAGGAAUGCGAUGUAGCGUCACUGGGGGUAGUUGCUUUGACAUAGUUACCAUUCGUCGCUUGCGACGAUUGGCGAUGGUGUUGGGGUAAGCUGCUUUCAGCAGUUAUACGCAGGGCAUUGAUACCAACGGCGGUAUUUGUCCCGUCUUGAAACACGGACCAAGGAGUCUAACCUGUACGCGAGUCCAAGGGCUGAAUCCCCACGGGCGAAAUGAAAGUAAUUGGAUGUAUUAUUGCCUUCGGGUGAUAUGACCAUCUAACCGACCUUGAUCUUCGGUGAGAGGUUUGAGUGUGAGCGUACCUGUUAGGACCCGAAAGAUGGUGAACUAUGCCUGUGUAGGGUGAAGCCAGGGGAAACUCUGGUGGAGGCUCGUAGCGAUACUGACGUGCAAAUCGUUCGUCAAACAUGGGCAUAGGGGCGAAAGACUAAUCGAACCAUCUAGUAGCUGGUUCCCUC